CCUCCUCAAUACUAUGGGUUGUGUCUGGUUGUUCCUCGAAGGAGGGAGCAGGGAUAAGGACCACCCAUCUCACUGAACUCUUGAGCAGCACCAGAUCACAACUUCAGUUCCUGUGUUUGGUAGGGCACACGGACCAUUCCCUCCUUAUGAUUGGUGGGACACAAGACACUUCCAGAAAGGAACAUGACAUGAUGUCAGGAGUAAUCUAAGAACAGAAACAGAAGGAACAAAGCAACAGAGGUUGGAGGAUCUUAUGAACAUCCCACACUUCAGUGCCCCAGAGAAUUUCAGCUUUGACAAACCUUCACAGUAGACAGACUGGAAGCAGUAUUUUGCAAGACUUUGAAUUGCAAACAAACUCCACAAAGAAACAGAUGAUGUACAGGUUUGUAGCAGUGAUGGAAUAAACUGCUAGCUUGCACAAGUCUCUCUGGAAUUAUCCAAACAGAUUGGGAGUCAUCAGUCCUUUUUCAGAGCUUCCUUGAUAGAAAUCUAGUACAGAGAAAUGAAGCGGGAAAUGAAGACAAAAUGUAAAUGUCCCAGGUGCGUUUUUUACAUCCUCUGCCAUCUGAAUAGAAAUGUAAUGUCCCAAACAAAGUCCGCAGCCCGUGUUUGUGAAAAGUUAGUGGCCCAAGAUGGAGUCCAGGGUCACAUGAACAUAUCACAUGUUCUUACAUAGUUUGCUGAGUCACAGUCAGAGUUUGAGGUGUCCACCGGAAGACCUACUGGAUGGGGUGAGUUUCUUCUAUGGCCCAUUAUUAGAGUGAAGUGUCCUUAAUGGGCCAUCAACACAUAGCUGUCUAGUCUUGAUGUAAAUCCUAUCUGGUGGUUGUUACCCAGGAAUACAACACAUGUAUAAGAUACACAUACAUAAUCAAUAUUCAUAACUUUAUA